UAAGCUUAUUCGGAGUUAAUAAAUGAUAUAACCAUUUAUUAAUCGUCGUGCCCGAUCAUCGGCUGACUCACUUGUUAAGGCUACGGCCCAUUCACCAUCAGAGGAACGGGACCUCAGCGUAGUCAUGACUAUCACUGCAAGCUCACACAUCUUGUAUCUAUAAAUACAAAGAGAAGGAGCCCUAGAAAGGGGCCUGCUUUUCUUCUUCAUUACUAUUUCCAAGAAAGAGAGAACAUCAUUAUAAGGCUCUGAACCUCUCCAUGGAUAGACAGACCAAAGCAAUAUUAUCAAUAAAAGAUCUCUUCCUUCCUUUGCUUGAUAAAUAACAUUUGUCUCGUGCAUUUUCCAUUUGGUCUUUUGAUUAUUACGAUCUGCUAUGAUUGACCCUUGAUCUAUUUCGAUUGUUUUUAGGCUUGCAAAUUGUAUGAUAACUU
rnacentral:lncRNA from 1 species